rnacentral:rRNA from 1 species
GUAGUCUCGCACAGAUGCAUAUCAAUAAGCGGAGGAAAAGAAACUAACAAGGAUUCCCUCAGUAACGGCGAGUGAAGCGGGAAGAGCUCAAAUUUGAAAUCUUGAAAGGUCACCUUUCACGAAUUGUAGUUUAAAGAAGUGUUUUCUGUUACGAUCGUAAUAUAAGUUCUUUGGAAUAGGACAUCACAGAGGGUGAGAAUCCCGUCUAUGAUUGCGAUUUGUAGCUUUGUGACACACUUUCAAAGAGUCGGGUUGUUUGGGAAUGCAGCCCAAAACGGGAGGUAAAUUUCUUCUAAGGCUAAAUAUUGGCGAGAGACCGAUAGCGAACAAGUACCGUGAGGGAAAGAUGAAAAGAACUUUGAAAAGAGAGUUAAACAGUACGUGAAAUUGUCAAAAGGGAAGCGUUUGAACACCAGUGUUGUUUUCUGAAAAUCAACCUCUGUUAGCUUUAUGCAUGUUUGUUUAGACCUAAUCAGCUAUCUUGCAUGUUCUAUUGUUUGCAGUGGUGCACUUUUCAGUUUACAGGUCAACAUCAGUUUUUUUACCGUAAAAAAGUUAAAGAAAGGUAGCUCAUGGCUCCGGUCGUGAGUGUUAUAGUCUUUUUCCUAUGCGGUAGGAGAGACUGAGGUCUGCAGUGUAGGCUAUUUGGCUAGAUACUCAGGUGCUAUGUGAUACCAUUUCAUAAACAACUUGUUGAUUAUGUUUUGUCUAUUGCAUACUCGCUUGUACUAUCAUACCUACGCUUAGGAUGUUGAAGAUGUAGCACAUCAU